rnacentral:rRNA from 1 species
AUGGCCCGUGCGCGGAAGCGCGACCGCCUGCGAUGGAGCAAGCUCUACACCUUCUCCUGCUUCGGCCACCCACACACUGACGAGGCCGCCGGCCCCGCCGCCGUCAGCGGCAGCCCCGUCGGCGGCCCGGGCUUCUCGCGCAUCGUGCACUGCAACAACUCCAUCCUCCACCGCCGGAAGCCGCUCAAGUACCCCACCAACUACAUCUCCACCACCAAGUACAACGUCCUCACCUUCCUCCCCAAGGCCAUCUUCGAGCAGUUCCGCCGCGUCGCCAACCUCUACUUCCUCCUCACCGCCAUCCUCUCGCUCACCCCAGUCUGCCCCUUCUCCCCCGUCAGCAUGAUCGCCCCCUUGGCCUUUGUGGUAGGGCUCAGUAUGAUCAAGGAGGCCCUGGAGGACUGGCGAAGGUUCAUGCAGGACAUGAAGGUGAACAGCCGCAAGGUCAGCGUGCACAAGGGUGAAGGUGAAUUUGAGUUCCGACAUUGGGAGGACCUUUGUGUUGGUGAUGUGGUCAGGGUUGAGAAGGACCAGUUCUUCCCUGCUGAUUUGUUGCUCUUGUCGUCGAGCUAUGAGGAUGGCAUUUGCUACGUUGAGACAAUGAACCUGGAUGGCGAGACAAACCUGAAGCUCAAGAGGUCGCUGGAGGUUACGCUGCCAUUGGAAGAGGAUGAGACGUUUAAGGAUUUCCGGGGAAUCAUAAGGUGUGAGGACCCAAACGCAAGCUUGUACACAUUCAUUGGUAACUUGGAAUACGAGAGGCAGGUGUAUGCCCUCGAUCCGUCACAGAUACUUCUCAGGGACUCAAAGCUGAGGAACACAGCCUUUAUCUAUGCAGUGGUCGUUUUUACAGGGCAUGACAGUAAGGUGAUGCAGAAUUCAACCGAGUCGCCAUCAAAGAGGAGCAGGAUUGAGAAGAAGAUGGAUUUGAUCAUAUACAUUUUGUUCACUGUUCUGGUUUUAAUAUCGCUCAUCAGUUCGAUUGGUUUUGCUGUGAGGAUCAAGCUUGAUCUGCCCAGGUGGUGGUACUUGCAGCCUCAGAACUCCAACAAAUUGGACGAUCCAACACGCCCUGCUCUUUCUGGGAUUUUCCAUCUCAUUACAGCACUCAUUCUCUACGGGUAUUUGAUUCCGAUCUCGCUCUAUGUCUCAAUUGAAGUUGUGAAGGUGGCACAGGCACAUUUCAUUAAUCAGGACAUUCAUAUGUUUGAUGAGGAGACUGGCAAUACUGCUCAGGCCCGAACUUCAAACUUGAAUGAGGAGCUUGGCCAAGUUCAUACGAUUUUGUCAGAUAAAACCGGCACUUUGACCUGUAAUCAGAUGGAUUUCUUGAAGUGUUCAAUUGCUGGGGUUUCUUAUGGUGUGCGUGCGAGUGAAGUUGAAAGGGCUGCUGCAAAGCAGAUGGCAUCAGGCGCUGCUGACCAUGAUAAUCCUGUGGAAGAUGUAUGGGAGAGUAAUGAGGAUGAAAUCCAGUUAGUGGAAGGAGUUACCUUCAGCGUGGGAAAGACCCAAAAAUCCUCGAUAAAAGGCUUUAGUUUUCAGGAUGACCGUCUUAUGCAAGGGCACUGGACAAAUGAACCAAAUUCCUCCACGAUUCUUCUGUUCUUCCGGAUACUUGCUAUUUGUCACACUGCAAUCCCCGAGGUGAAUGAGGCAACAGGUGCUCUUACUUAUGAAGCAGAAUCACCUGACGAGGGGGCUUUUCUUGUGGCAGCCAGAGAAUUUGGAUUUGAAUUUUUCAAGAGAACACAAGCGAGUGUCUUCCUCAAAGAGAAAUACACUUCCUCUAAUGGCACAACUGAGAGGGAGUUCAAGAUUCUCAAUUUAUUGGAGUUCAACAGCAAAAGAAAGCGAAUGACGGUAAUUAUGAGGGAUGAAGAUAACCGUAUUGUUCUUCUUUGCAAAGGAGCAGAUACCAUUAUAUUUGAUAGACUAGCAAAAAAUGGAAGGUUGUAUGAGCCAGAUACAACCAAGCAUCUCAAUGAAUAUGGUGAGGCAGGCUUGCGGACGUUAGCGCUAUCAUACAGAAUGCUUGAGGAAUCAGAAUAUGAAUCUUGGAAUGCUGAGUUUCUUAAAGCGAAGACAUCCAUUGGACCUGAUAGGGAAUUGCAACUUGAGCGAGUCGCAGAUUUGAUUGAGAAGGAGCUGAUCCUUGUUGGUGCAACAGCGGUUGAGGACAAACUACAAACAGGGGUUCCUCAGUGCAUUGAUCGCUUGGCACAAGCAGGUCUCAAAAUCUGGGUUCUGACGGGCGAUAAGAUGGAAACUGCAAUCAACAUAGGAUACGCAUGCAGUUUACUUAGGCAAGGAAUGAAACAGAUAUCCUUGUCCACAACCGCUGGUGACCAAGUAGCCCAGGAUGCACAAAAGGCUGCGAAAGAGAGUCUUAUGUUGCAAAUCGCCAAUGCUUCACAAAUGGUAAAGCUAGAGAAGGAUCCUGACGCAGCAUUUGCUCUUGUUAUUGAUGGAAAAGCUCUUACAUUUGCUUUGGAAGAUGACAUGAAGCAUAUGUUCUUGAAUCUAGCAGUAGAGUGUGCUUCUGUCAUAUGUUGCCGUGUGUCUCCAAGACAGAAAGCACUGGUGACCCGACUGGUCAAAGAAGGCCUUGGAAAAACCACUUUAGCAGUAGGUGACGGUGCAAAUGAUGUGGGCAUGAUUCAAGAAGCUGAUAUUGGUGUUGGUAUUAGUGGGGUCGAAGGCAUGCAGGCUGUGAUGGCGAGUGACUUUUCUAUUUCCCAAUUUCGGUUCCUUGAGCGACUUCUUGUUGUACAUGGCCAUUGGUGCUACAAGAGAAUUGCCCAAAUGAUCUGCUACUUCUUUUACAAGAAUAUUACCUUUGGACUUACAAUAUUUUACUUCGAGGCAUUCGCUGGAUUUUCUGGGCAAUCAGUCUAUGAUGAUUGGUUUAUGCUGCUUUUCAACGUUGUUCUUACCUCUCUACCUGUUAUAUCACUUGGAGUAUUUGAGCAAGAUGUUUCUGCUGAAAUCUGCUUGCAGUUCCCAGCGCUAUAUCAGCAAGGACCAAAUAACCUUUUCUUUGACUGGUACCGGAUUUUAGGAUGGAUGGCAAAUGGCCUCUACUCAUCUCUGGCGAUAUUCUUUCUCAACAUCUGUAUAUUCUAUGAUCAAGCAAUCCGCUCUGGUGGACAGACUGCCGACAUGGCUUCAGUGGGAACCACCAUGUUCUCCUGCAUCAUCUGGGCUGUCAAUAUACAGAUUGCUCUGACAAUGAGCCAUUUCACGUGGAUUCAACAUCUGUUUGUGUGGGGCAGCAUAGGGACUUGGUAUGUCUUCAUUAUCACAUACGGGAUGGCUUUGAAGUCCAGAGACAACUUCCAGAUUAUGACAGAAGUUCUCGGGCCUGCUCCCAUUUACUGGGCAGCGACCCUUCUGGUGACUGCUGCUUGCAACAUCCCCUACCUGAUUCACAUAUCCUACCAGAGAUCAUGCAAUCCACUUGAUCACCAUGUGAUUCAGGAGAUCAAGUACCUACGGAAAGACGUCGAAGACGAAACAAUGUGGAAGAGGGAACGGUCUAAGGCGAGACAGAGGACCAAGAUUGGUUUCACCGCAAGGGUAGACGCAAAGAUUAAGCAGCUCAAGGGGAGGUUGCAUAAGAAAAGCCCGUCAUUAACCAUCCAUACUGUAGCGUAG